rnacentral:rRNA from 2 species
GCUGGGUUCAGAACGUCGUGAGACAGUUCGGUCCCUAUCUUCCGUGGGCGUAGGAAAGUUGAAGAGAUUUGUCCCUAGUACGAGAGGACCGGGAUGAACCAACCACUGGUGUACCAAUUGUUCUGCCAAGAGCAUCGUUGGGUAGCUACGUUGGGAUGUGAUAAGAGCUGAAAGCAUCUAAGCUCGAAGCCAACUCUAAGAUGAACUUUCCCUGAAGUUCCCAGCAAGACUAGCUGGUUGAUAGGCUGGGUGUGUAAUGGGUGUAAGCCCUUUAGCUGACCAGUACUAAUAGAACGUUUGGCUUAUUUUAACAAA